CCUACGGGUGGCUGCAGUCGGGAAUAUUGCGCAAUGGAGGAAACUCUGACGCAGUGAAGCCGCGUAUAGGAAGAAGGUUUUCGGAUUGUAAACUAUUGUCGUUAGGGAAGAUAAAAGACUGUACCUAAGGAGGAAGUCCCUGCUAAAUAUGUGCCAGCAGCCGCGGUAAUACAUAGGGGGCGAGCGUUAUCCGGAAUUAUUGGGUGUAAAGGGUGCGUAGAGGGAAGAACAAGUUGGUUGUGAAAUCCCUCGGCUCAACUGAAGAACUGCAACCAAAACUAGUCGCCUUGAGUGCCGGAGAGGAGAGUGGAAUUCGUAGUGUAGCGGUGAAAUGCGUAGAUAUUAGGAAGAACACCAGUGGCGAAGGCGACUUUCUGGACGAUAACUGACGUUGAGGCACGAAAGUGUGGGGAGCAAACAGGAUUAGAUACCCCAGUAGUC
rnacentral:rRNA from 1 species